rnacentral:rRNA from 1 species
GACGAACGCUGGCGGCGUGCUUAACACAUGCAAGUCGAACGGAAAGGCCCUGCUUUUGUGGGGUUCUCGAGUGGCGAACGGGUGAGUAACACGUGAGUAACCUGCCCUUGACUUUGGGAUAACUUCAGGAAACUGGGGCUAAUACCGGAUAGGAGCUCCUGCUGCAUGGUGGGGGUUGGAAAGUUUCGGCGGUUGGGGAUGGGCUCGCGGCUUAUCAGCUUGUUGGUGGGGUAGUGGCUUACCAAGGCUUUGACGGGUAGCCGGCCUGAGAGGGUGACCGGCCACAUUGGGACUGAGAUACGGCCCAGACUCCUACGGGAGGCAGCAGUGGGGAAUAUUGCACAAUGGGCGGAAGCCUGAUGCAGCAACGCCGCGUGCGGGAUGACGGCCUUCGGGUUGUAAACCGCUUUCGCCUGUGACGAAGCGUGAGUGACGGUAAUGGGUAAAGAAGCACCGGCUAACUACGUG